UACGUAGGGUGCGAGCGUUGUCCGGAAUUAUUGGGCGUAAAGGGCUCGUAGGCGGUUUGUCGCGUCGGGAGUGAAAACCAGGUGCUUAACACCUGGCCUGCUUUCGAUACGGGCAGACUAGAGGCAUUCAGGGGAGAACGGAAUUCCUGGUGUAGCGGUGAAAUGCGCAGAUAUCAGGAGGAACACCGGUGGCGAAGGCGGUUCUCUGGGAAUGUCCUGACGCUGAGGAGCGAAAGUGUGGGGAGCGAACAGG
rnacentral:rRNA from 1 species